rnacentral:tRNA from 1 species
AGCGGGGUGGGGCAGCCAGGAGUGCCCGUCGGGCUCAUAACCCGGAGGUCGAAGGUUCAAACGAGGAGCAGAGCGGAUCGCCCAGAAAACUCUGUUUUUCUGAAUGUCCUUCCCCCGCUA